UACGUAGGGGGCGAGCGUUGUCCGGAUUUAUUGGGCGUAAAGAGCUCGUAGGCGGUUUGGCAAGUCGGGUGUGAAAACUCCGGGCUCAACUCGGAGACGCCACUCGAUACUGCCAUGACUCGAGUCCGGUAGGGGAGUGCGGAAUUCCUGGUGUAGCGGUGAAAUGCGCAGAUAUCAGGAGGAACACCGGUGGCGAAGGCGGGUCUCUGGGCCGUAACUGACGCUGAGGAGCGAAAGCGUGGGGAGCAAACAGG
rnacentral:rRNA from 1 species